rnacentral:lncRNA from 1 species
UUGGCUGUUACUGUGGUUUAUGGAUUGACUUAUGUGAUAAUGAAUUGCUUAUGGGUUGGUAUUUUAUUUUCUGGUUGUUUCUUUCAUUGCCUCUUUAGCUGCUGUGUUUUAGAAUGGGUAGAAAAUCCACAGCCCGUAGGCACCCAUAUUUUAGAGGUCAAUCCAGUAGAGCUCCCGGGUCUCCCACCCAAGACCGUCCUGCCUCACCACCCUUUGAGUUCCCUGUAGUUAGAGAGCAGGAUCCAGCUUUUGAGCCUUUUUCUCUCAGGUUUGUUCAUCCUGGGAGAACAAUCCAUGAUAAUAGUGUUCAGCUUUUUAGCACUCAGGGUUUCCUACAGCCCUUCAUUGUUCAGGGAUGGGACCACCUUCUUAUCACUCCAGCAGACACCCAUCCUAGGAUUGUUAGGGAGUUCUAUGCAAACCUUCACACCUUCACCCGUCACACUCCCCC